GACGAACGCUGGCGGCGUGCCUAACACAUGCAAGUCGAACGGGGGUAGCAAUACCUCAGUGGCGAACGGGUGCGUAACACGUGAAGAAUUUGUCUAACGGGCGGGGGAUAGCCGGCCCAACGGCCGGGUAAUACCGCGUACGACCUCUGGAGGGCAUCCUCUGGUGGUGAAAGCCGCAAGGCGCCGAUAGAGAACUUCGCGGCCUAUCAGCUAGUUGGCGGGGUAAUGGCCCACCAAGGCGACGACGGGUAGCUGGUCCGAGAGGAUGACCAGCCACAUUGGGACUGAGACACGGCCCAGACUCCUACGGGAGGCAGCA
rnacentral:rRNA from 1 species